CUCAUUUUUUGGACUUUUGGCUAAGAUCAAGUGUAAUAUUUGUUUUACCAGUUCAAUAUCUAGUAUAUGAACAAUAUGUUCACUUUGACAUUAAAUUCAUUUAUUAUGAUAUUUUUAUGUGAAGGGUCCAUUAAAAUUCUCAAGUGUCGCUUAGUCACCCAAUCAAUAUCAUCAAAUAUGGUUGGGUACCAUCGCAACACACGGGUA
rfam:Zea mays cultivar B73 chromosome 2, whole genome shotgun sequence.